rnacentral:misc_RNA from 1 species
GAUGAAGAACGUAGCGAAAUGCGAUAACUAAUGUGAAAUGCAGAAUUCAGUGAAUCAUCGAGUCUUUGAACGCACAUUGCGCCCCCUGGUAUUCCGGGGGGCAUGCCUGUCCGAGCGUCAUUGCUGCCCUCAAGCACGGCUUGUGUGUUGGGCUCCGUCCCCCCGGGGACGGGCCCGAAAGGCAGCGGCGGCACCGAGUCCGGUCCUCGAGCGUAUGGGGCUUUGUCACCCGCUCUGUAGGCCCGGCCGGCGCCAGCCGACAACCCAUCAUCCUUUUCAGGUUGACCUCGGAUCAGGUAGGGAUACCCGCUGAACUUAAGCAUAUCAAUAAGCGGAGGA